rnacentral:sRNA from 1 species
AAUUAAAUCCGUGCCCGUAGGGAAGGGGUUGUGUUAACUAAAUGCCGGUAUAAAACCGAAUGUUGGCACAAUUUUGGGCACAAUUUUGGGUAAAUUUAAAUUAUAUUAACAAAUUGUAAAGUUUGGAAGUUAAAAAAGAUUUUAUUUAAAGAAGUUUACCUAAAUAGAAUUUUGGAUUGUUUUACAAAGUUUACCAUGGCGAUCCGACGGGAAAAGGAAAUAUAAUAUAUGGUAAUAUAUUUCCAGCAAAAGGGCCGCGAAAAGGGCCUUGGGAGGUAUAUUUUCCCAAUAAUAUAUAUAAUCGCAGUUGGGGGUAUUGCGUCCCUGGGAUCGGUGCUGCUAAUAUUAUUAAUACUAUUAAUACCGUUAAUGUUUUUUGGAAAGGAUACGGCCCCAUCCAGUGGAUUUUUCAUUUCCAGGCGGUGCUCCCCUGGGUCCGUUUUAAUUGCGAAAAUUAGAAUCGGUUAAAGGGAUAGGGGAUCCAGUUAUAUAAUAUAAAAGCGGGGUAAAUAACAUAAACCGGGGCAGGAUGCAAAAUAAUAAUUAGGGGGAGAAAAGGAGGGGAAGUGAGGAACAGUUCGACAGGAAUUGGUCGAUGUUGGUUUAUAUAACGAUUUGCAAUCCAAAAAUGGGUUUGCCGACCCAUUUUAAACCGAUGACGAAAAUAACCAACAAAAAUAAUAUUGUAUAACACGUUUGGAACUUUUAAACCUUUUUACAAACCGUUGGUUAUUUGCACCCGUUAUUUCGGUGAAUUAACCAGGGGAUACUUUGGUCGGGCGAGCAAUAUAAUUUUUAAACCUUUACAAAUAACCAGGGCUGCAUUAUAAAUUAUAUUACGCACCGUUUCCCGUAAUUUCCCCAUAACAAAAUACCAUAUUAUAAACACAGGUAUUUCGGCGCUCCGUAUUAAAGCGGAGUUAAUAAAUAUAAAAAUAAGAAAAGCUUACAGACAACCAGGCCGCAAAUGCGUCCCGUAGGGCAAAUUCCAGGAUUUGACAAUUUAAUUUAAACCUUUAAUAUAAUGCAUUAAAUAUAUCCACGUCCAAUGCUACAGGAUAAUGUUUCCAGAAUUUCACCGUUAAUAGCCUGCUGGGACGUUACAUUGCAACCUUUUCAACCGAUACGCCAGGCGUGUGGACGAUAUAAUGCCAAAUUUAAUAUAUAUGUGCGACCGAAAUAGGGAAAGGGAAAUGCUGGUAAUAUAAUUUAAACGAAACUGUAACCGCAAGCAAUAUUAGGCAGGAGGGUCUCGCAAAUGCUGGAACCGCAACCUUGGACUUUUUUUAUCGUUGUAAUAAGGUUAAAUUGUCGCAAUAUUAAUAACGAUAAUUUUUGGUAUUUUGAACCAGAGCCUCGGGAUUAUAAUGAAAUUGGUAAUAUAUAACAGCCAAAAAUCGAACGGUAAUACCGCGAAAAUUACCGCAAUUGGCAGGAAAAAAAAACGUUAGCAACACGAUUCGAAAAAAUGGGAUUUUAAUACCAUUAAUAUCCGUCGAAAUGCUAUUCCGUCGCAAAAAAAACAAGGAUGGAGUUUUGCCAAAAUGGUAAUAAAAACCAAAACCCCGGGUCCAACAAAAGGACGUUGCGAUCCUCGAAUUUACCAUUUUUCAAAUGCGCAAUUGGUGUUUGUACGUUUAAAAUAUAGGGCCGAAAAGCCAAAUUGAGAUUAUUAACCGAAGAAUAAUGGGGCCCGUACAUUUGCCAGGUUUUAUAAAAGGGCUCCCUGCAAAAAUGCCGAAUUAGGAACCGGAGGUGCAACCCAAAGCAGUAUUAUUACGUUAUUAUUUUUGCACAGUACUAAUAUCGACCAAAGGAAGGAAAAAAGCGGUUAUUACAAAAAAAAAUCGCCAAAGAUUAAAUUUGGACCGUUUGUGCGGAAUUUAAUUGCGUGGACAAAUAGGCGCAGGCGAUGGAGCCCCCGUUUUAAUUGGCAAUUUUUAGGAUGUGGAUGUAAAUAUAGGGAAUAAAAAAUAUUUAUUAUGAAAAUCGAGUCCGACGCCGCUAUUAUCGCCAAUUCCUAGGUUAAAACAGUGGCUAAUUUAUUUUAUUAAUAUUAUUAGUUAUAUAAUAUUACAGGAUUUUAAAAUUAUAAUAACCGCGCCUCAAAACCACGUAUUAAACGGCGCAAUUGUUUCGAAUAAAAACGAUAUAAUAACUGCCACCCCACCAUUUCCCAAACGUCCCCAGACCAAUUUGUUCAGGGGUUGGGAAAGCGUAAAAUUAAUAUAUUAUUAGGUAUCUAAUUAUAAUUAUUUUAACCAUUAUCUUUAUCGCGUAUUGCAAUUAAUUAAAUCCGCCCGUCAAAUAAAUAUAAAAAAAGAGCGGAUUUACUAACAGGAGCGUGUGGAAAUUUAGGUAUUGUUUUACAAAAUGCACGAUUUGCAGGAAAAAUAAAAGGAAUUUAUAUCGGACCAUACUAGGGCCAUUAAAAACCAGGAGGAAAUAAUAAAAAUUAAUUAAAGUUUGGAAUUUUAAUUCGAAAAAGCCGAAAUAAACCAAAUUGCGUGGGAGCAGCAAUAUUACCAAUUUGUUAAAAAUGCGGACCUAAACAAAACUUAAAUCGAAAAAUUGGAAUAUAUGGUCGAAUAACAGGCGCGAAAUUUGUUGGUCGUAAAAAAGGAUAACGAAAAAAUUAUAUCGAUGUUUUUAAAACAUUACCCUAGUUUUUUGGAGGACGGCAGCAAUUUUUUUUCAAUUUUGGAAAACGAAAGCGAAAACGGCAAAAAGAAGAGAAGGCGGCCAUCCAGUUAGACAAAAAUAGGCGAAGGUUUUACCAUUCGGGUAAGGAUAAAAAUUAUAAUUUCGAAUUUAGUUUGCAUAAUAAAUGCGUAAAUAUACCAAAGUUUUAAUACACUAAUAAAAACAGGAUAUAACCGAUUAUUACCUGAAACCCCGCCGUGUCCGGCUUUUAUUAACAGGAGAUUAUAAAUACGAAAAUGCUAGUUUUUAAUAAGGAAGAUAUAAUAUAACCGGGGACGGGGUAUUUGACUAACAAUUAAAAUAAAUUAAUGUGGGAGUUUGAGUUUUGGAAUUAUUACCGGCCUGUACACGGUUUUUCGUUUUAUUUCGACUUGAACCCAAUUAAAAAGAUUAUAUUACCCGUCUUUAUUUUUAAUUAGGCCCGGGCCAUUAACUGUCCUAUUUAAUUCAGCCACGUGGACGAUAUACGUUAUACGAAAGAGUCGGAAAUGCGUUUUGUCAAAGCGUUUCCGUUAACCGUUUCGCUUUUUGCUUCCUAUAUAAUGGCAGAAAUGCGAUUAAACGUAACGGCGAUCGGUGCACAAAAUGGCGCCUCCACGAUUAAAUAUUAGGAAAUGGAUAUACCCAUCGACGCUAGGGGCAAUUUAAAUUUGGGGAACGUACAAAAUAUUACCUGGAACGUUUUUCCGCCAGGAAAGUCCGAGGGGCCGUAUAAUAUAUUAUAUAAUUUGUAAAAUCGGGUAAAAAAUAAAAGACCGUAUUUUAAUUUUAUUAAUUAUUUAACAGGUGGUUAUUCCUGCGAAAAGAAAUAUUUUGUUUUACGUUUCCCGGUAACGAUUCGACAGACGCCUACCUAACGGCUGGGGAAUUCGGUUUUUUAUUCGCGGUAAAUACGGUAGAUGUAAAUUUUACCGGCUAUAUUAGCGCGUUAUUGGGUAAUACCGAGAUUGUUUUUGCGCAAAUGGCGACGGAGGGCGGGGUUUUUCCCAAUUAUAGGAGAAUGUAUAUGGGCGCAUGCGAUGCAAUUAAAAUGGCAGGUUGGAGGAAGUUGGGCUGGAAUAAGAACAAGACCUGGAAAUUGGUAGGUCAAAAGUAAUUUGGAUGUUUACAAAUUCGUAUCUUUAACCAAAUAAUCCCGCUGGGGUUCGGAAGGCCAAACAACAAAAGUUUAUAAUAAUAUAUAUUUAAAAAUAAUAUAAUACGUAUUAUACCAAAUCAAAUAUAUUAAUAUUGUGGAAAUUGGUGGAUUUAAUACCGCCAGGCGUUCGUGUUAAAUUUAUCAGUUUCUAUGGUCCCAGAAUUUGGCCAGGCCAAGAAUUUAAUUAUAUCGCAAAGUUUGGUCGCAAUUUUACCCUGCGUAUUUGCUAUAAAACGGAAUUUUCGCGCCCAAAAUAAAAAAUUGGUCCGUUAAUAAAACCUGGCUUUUUAAUCGUGCUCCGUAAUUUUUAUUCUAUUAUUCGUUUUGUUCCCUUUUUUUUGCAAAAAAUAUCGUUUAUUUUUAAAACGAACACAUUUUACGUCUUUGUUUUGUACAUUUUUUUUGUCGACUAUUGGCAGUUGUUAAAUUAGCGUAUGGAUACCAGCGUUAGCCACCUAAUUAUAUCGAUUAAUUAUUGCAAAAGCUCAGAGUUUUCAAAUCCGAGUAAUAAUAUUUUAAAGGCCACAACCCUGCGGGCUUUCGUAAACAGCCCUAUUAUAUGGGAAACGAUCAAAUAUUUCGCUGUAAGGACAAACGAGGUAAUCGUUUGUAAAAAUAACAAAAAAACAAAUAUGUUUGUUAAAUCCAGGAUAUCGGACUUCGAAAGGUUUAUUACCAACCUGGUUUGGUAUUCCAAAAUCCGAAUUGCAAUAUUAAUAUCUUUUUUGGUUUAUUUAAAUCGGUUAAAAACUCGCCUUCAAAACUGCAUUGGUUAUCCAAAUACGCCGUAUAGAUUUUUUUUGGCAAAUUUAAUAUUAACAGCCAAAUAUUUAAACGAUAAAUCGCCCUGGAAUAAGAAAUGGGCCAAAUACGUAUUCCUACGUGCAAUGGACGCAAACGGUAAUAACCUAAGUUAUAGCUUCCAUUUUAAUAUUGCAGGAGUAAAUAAAAUGGAAAGACAGCUUUUUAAUCUGCUAUUUUGGGAUUUGAAAAUUGAAAACAGUAAUUUGUAUUACGAGCUGGAAACGUUUCUAAAAUUAAUACGUUUUGGAAUUUCCGAAAAAGUUAUUAUAAAGGGGAGGUUAGUAAAGAACGACCAUAUUUAAAAAAAAUGCUAAACAGGUGGUGGAUUUAUAGGCGAAGCAAUAUUAUAAUGCUUUUAAAUUGCCGGGUUACCUUUGGAAAACUUUUUAUUAUAUAAAUUA